AGCGAACGCUGGCGGCAGGCCUAACACAUGCAAGUCGAACGAACCCUUCGGGGUUAGUGGCGGACGGGUGAGUAACACGUGGGAACGUGCCUUUAGGUUCGGAAUAACUCAGGGAAACUUGUGCUAAUACCGAAUGUGCCCUUCGGGGGAAAGAUUUAUCGCCUUAGAGCGGCCCGCGUCUGAUUAGCUAGUUGGUGAGGUAAUGGCUCACCAAGGCUACGAUCAGUAGCUGGUCUGAGAGGAUGACCAGCCACAUUGGGACUGAGACACGGCCCAAACUCCUACGGGAGGCAGCAGUGGGGAAUCUUGUGCAAUGGGCGAAAGCCUGACGCAGCCAUGCCGCGUGGAUGAUGAAGGUCUUAGGAUUGUAAAAUCCUUUCACCGGUGAAGAUAAUGACUGUAGCCGGAGAAGAAGCCCCGGCUAACUUCGUGCCAGCCGCCGCGGUAAUAC
rnacentral:rRNA from 1 species